CACGUAGGGCGCGAGCGUUUGUCCGGAAUUAUUGGGCGUAAAGAGCUCGUAGGCGGCCUGUUGCGUCCGCUGUGAAAGCCCGGGGCUUAACCCCGGGUCGGCAGUGGAUACGGGCAGGCUAGAGGUAGGUAGGGGAGAAUGGAAUUCCCGGUGUAGCGGUGAAAUGCGCAGAUAUCGGGAGGAACACCGGUGGCGAAGGCGGUUCUCUGGGCCCUACCUGACGCUGAGGAGCGAAAGCGUGGGGAGCGAACAGG
rnacentral:rRNA from 1 species